rnacentral:rRNA from 1 species
GUUCAGCCGUAAACUUUAAAUUACAACCCCAUCGCCAGGGAACUACGAGCAAUGCUUAAAACUCAAAGGACUUGACGGUACCCCAUAUCCCCCUAGAGGAGCCUGUCCUAUAAUCGAUAAUCCCCGUUCAACCUCACCACUUUUAGCCUUCUCAACCUGUAUACCUCCGUCGUCAGCUUACCUCGUGAGCGAAAUCUAGUGAGCCCAAUGUCUCCACAUCAAUACGUCAGGUCAAGGUGCAGUUUAUAAAGUGGGAAGAGAUGGGCUACACUUUCUAAUAUAGAAAAUACGAAAAACUACAUAUGAAAUCUAGUUGGAAGGCGGAUUUAGCAGUAAAAAGAAAAUAGAGUGUUCUUUUUAAUUUGGCACUGGGGUGUGUACACACCGCCCGUCACCCUCUUCAAAGCUUAUCAAAAGUAACUUAACUAAUUUUUGCAAUGACAGAAGAGGCAAGUCGUAACAUGGUAAGUAUACCGGAAGGUGUGCUUGGAUUAAA